CCCAGUCCUAAUGUUCUGACAGAUUCACAGUGAUGCUUUCGUAGAUGCCCCCAGGAACUCACUGAAUUAAUCAAAACAGUCCAGCACAUUUGGACAAAGUCCUGUCUGUGUUCUCUCAAAAGAAAGCCUUACCGGGGAAUUCUAGAAUGUCAACAUUUUUCUACAACAAGGUUCCACUUGGAGGUCCCGCAAGUCUCCUGGGGUCAGAGGGUGAUAGACCCACCACUCCGGAGAUGGUCCUAGCAAAAGGCCACAUAUUACUCAGUGCUGACUCAUAGCCGAGGUGAUGCUCAACCUCCUGACCCCAACCUACAGAGCACCUGGAACCACUUCAGUUGACUACGUGUGUGCGUGCGCCCAUUUAGUGUCUUUGACAUGAUUGUUAGGAUCAGUCCUACCUUCCCAGUGCCUCAGCCUGGACUCCAGCCAGCUGGCCCACAAGACUCCCGCUUCCCAUUGCCUAGUCUUUGCCAGUACCAUCUCCUCCAUCUUACCCCUUUCCAUCUACACUUCUUUGCCAGGAGCCUACCAUCCUUUGAAAGCUACUAUCCUAAAAGCUCCCCUAAAACCUUUAUGUUUUUAAGUAUAAGUGACAUCCCUUCCACAGCACUUGAUCUCCCUCCCAAGAGUAGCAGGUUUCAUUUCCUACUUUACACACCAUUCCUGCUCUACCUAUGCCCCCCCUACAGGACAGGAG